CGGGGUUUCUCUGAGCAUUUUCGGUGACUAUUUGAACGAUAAUGCCCUUUGAAAUCCUGAA
rnacentral:pre_miRNA from 1 species